rnacentral:lncRNA from 10 species
CAUUGAUUCAUUCCUUCAAUAAACAUUUAUUGAAUGCUUGGUAUUGGUCAAGCCACUGUUCUGAGAGCUGCUGAUGCCAAGUAAAAUAAGACAUGGUUCUUUCCCUUGAAGAAAGGGAAUGGGAAAGGUAACCAAGGGAGAAAAUAGUUAUUUUGCCUUGUGUCCAGAUGAGGUUUUUCACAUUCUCGGCUGGUCUUUUCACUCACUGCUGAAAGUCUUUGGAGAGCCUUUACUCCCUUCAGGGGAAAGGAUCGAGGCCCUUCCGAUGUGGCCUUUUCUUGAGUCUCCAGCCCCAUCUCUUACCACUCCUCUCAACACAGAGGUAUGCACAGACGAUAUGCAAGCACACAGGAGAUCAUCUAAAUGAGACUCGAGCAGAGAGUGAUUAAGGAAGACUUCCUGGAGGAGAUGAGGAAGCCAAGACCCAGUGGUUGAAGUACCUUGCCCAGAGCACACAGUCUUGACAGGCAGUGGAAGCAGAACAGAACCAAGCUGGUUUGGUACCAGUCUGUGAGUUUUCAGCUGUGUGCACUAGUAUAAAAGAUGUGCUUGUGACUUCUGUGGCUUACCUCCCUGCAUAGAGCUCAAGGCCUGAAGGUGCUGCACGGGGCAGUAAAGGAUGGCUGUGCACUUUGAAGACUGAAAAGUGAGUGAAGGGGGUGUUUUAGUCCAUUCUCACACUGCUAAUAAAGACAUACCCGAGACUGGGUAAUUUAUAAAGGAAAGAAGUUAAUUGACUCACAGUUCAGCAUGGCUGAGGAGGCUUCAGGAAACUUACAAUCAUGGUGGAAGGGGAAGAAAACCUGUCCUUCACAUGGCAGCAGCAAGGAGAAGUGCUGAGCAAAAGGGAGAGAAGCCCCUUAUAAAACCAUAAGAUCUUGUGAGAACUCACAUUCACUACCAUGAGAAUGGCAGCAUGAGGGUAAUCACCCCCAUGACUCAAUUACCUCCUACCAGGUCCCUCCCACAACAUGUGGGGAUUAUGGGAACUACAAUUCAAGAUGAGAUUUGGGUGGGGACACAGCCAAACCAUAUCAGAAGGGAACUGGGAAAGGUAUUUCAGGCAGAAGAGUCAGUGUGUUCAAAGCAAGAGGGGUGUGAAAGAGCAUGGCGUGUUGGAAGGAUAGUAAUUAGCUCAUGAUGGUUGGGAGUGUUAAGAGCACUGCUGAGAGAUGGGGCUGGAGAUGCAAGCAAUGGCCACAUCUGAAGGGCUUCAUAUAGCCCUUGGCCUGAAGGGAGUAAAAACUCUUGAGGAGUUUAAGCAGUGAGUGACAAGACUGAGAAUGUCAAAAACCUCACUUGUACAGCAAUGUAAGCAAGUCUAGGUCGGGAGAAGCCUGGAGGCAGAGAGGCCAGUUACAGGGCUUGCUGCAGUCAUAGAGCAACAAGAUGGUAGAAAUGAUAAGGAGGGUGUUAGAGUUUGGGAGCUAUUAUGGAGAAACAUUAGACAGAGGUGGGCCCCUGGAUUGGGGAUGAGUAAAGGUAACAGAUUCUCACUUGGGCAGCCAGUGAGGUGAUGCCAUUCAUGAGGCAGGGAUGGUGGGGAAGAACCAGCUUGGUGCUUGAAGGUGAUGAGUAGAGAUGAUGAUGGUCAUAAACAACUAAUAAAGAAAAUGAGCUUCACUUUUUUACCUUCUGUUCUGUCUAGUUGUUUAGUUUAUUGAGGCCUUAGAAAAAAAUAUGACAGCCCCAGAGAAAAUAUUGUCAAUAAAAGUUAAAUGUAUUUAUUUUGAUAAGACAUUGUUUUUAUUGCAAAAGUAAUAUAUACACAGACAAUUUAGAAAUUACAGACAAGCCAAAGAAAAUGUUGUUACACAAAUGCAAUGUUACAAUGACUUGUAACACUUUGGUGUGUAUCCUUUUUUCUCUAAGCACAUAUGUGUAAAUAUAUGCAUUUUUAAAGGAUUUCAGUAAUGUUCUCAUGAUUAAAUAUAUCAUGCACAUCCUUCUUUCUUUUCUUUCUUGCUUUUUUUUUUUUUUUUUUUUUUUUUGAGACAUGGUCUAGCUCUGUCACCCGGGCUUGAAUGUAGUGCAAUUCUGGCUCACUUCAACCCCCAUCUCUUGAGUUCAAGUGAUCCUUCUGCCUCAGCCUCCCAAGUAGCUGGCACUGCAGGUGUGCACCACCAUGCCCAGCUAAUUUUUGUAUUUUUUGUUGGGACAGGGUUUUGCCAUGUUGCCUAGGCUUGUCUCAAACUCCUAGGCUCAAGUGAUCCACCCACC